UACGGAGGAUGCAAGCGUUAUCCGGAAUGAUUGGGCGUAAAGCGUCCGCAGGUGGCUAUGUAAGUCUGCUGUCAAAGCGUCUGGCUCAACCAGAUAAAGGCAGUGGAAACUACAUAGCUAGAGUAAGGUAGGGGUAGAGGGAAUUCCUGGUGUAGCGGUGAAAUGCGCAGAUAUCAGGAAGAACACCUAUGGCGAAGGCAGCGCUCUGGGACGGUACUGACGCUGAGACGCGAAAGCGUGGGGAGCGAACAGG
rnacentral:rRNA from 1 species